rnacentral:misc_RNA from 1 species
GAUGAAGAACGCAGCGAAAUGCGAUAAGUAGUGUGAAUUGCAGAAUUCAGUGAAUCAUCGAAUCUUUGAACGCACAUUGCGCCCCUUGGUAUUCCAUGGGGCAUGCCUGUUCGAGCGUCAUUUGUACCUUCAAGCUCUGCUUGGUGUUGGGUGUUUGUCCUUGCUCUAGUGGCGGGACUCGCCUUAAAGUAAUUGGCAGCCAGUGUUUUGGUUUUGAAGCGCAGCACAAGUCGCGAUUCAAGUCUAUACGCUAGUUUCCACAAGUCUUUUAUCACUUUUGACCUCGGAUCAGGUAGGGAUACCCGCUGAACUUAAGCAUAUCAAAAGCGGAGGA